GACGAACGCUGGCGGCGUGCUUAACACAUGCAAGUCGAACGGAAAGGCCCUGCUUUUGUGGGGUGCUCGAGUGGCGAACGGGUGAGUAACACGUGAGUAACCUGCCCUUGACUUUGGGAUAACUUCAGGAAACUGGGGCUAAUACCGGAUAGGAGCUCCUGCUGCAUGGUGGGGGUUGGAAAGUUUCGGCGGUUGGGGAUGGACUCGCGGCUUAUCAGCUUGUUGGUGGGGUAGUGGCUUACCAAGGCUUUGACGGGUAGCCGGCCUGAGAGGGUGACCGGCCACAUUGGGACUGAGAUACGGCCCUGACUCCUACGGGAGGCAGCAGUGGUGAAUAUUGCACAAUGGGCGGAAGCCUAAUGCAGCAACGCCGCGUGCGGGAUGACGGCCUUCGGGUUGUAAACCGCUUUCGCCUGUGACGAAGCGUGAGUGACGGUAAUGGGUAAAGAAGCACCGGCUGACUACGUG
rnacentral:rRNA from 1 species